AGUGAACGUUGGCGGUAGGCCUAACACAUGCAAGUCGAACGGCAGCACAGUAAGAGCUUGCUCUUACGGGUGGCGAGUGGCGGACGGGUGAGGAAUACAUCGGAAUCUACUUUUUCGUGGGGGAUAACGUAGGGAAACUUACGCUAAUACCGCAUACGACCUACGGGUGAAAGCAGGGGAUCUUCGGACCUUGCGCGAUUGAAUGAGCCGAUGUCGGAUUAGCUAGUUGGCGGGGUAAAGGCCCACCAAGGCGACGAUCCGUAGCUGGUCUGAGAGGAUGAUCAGCCACACUGGAACUGAGACACGGUCCAGACUCCUACGGGAGGCAGCAGUGGGGAAUAUUGGACAAUGGGCGCAAGCCUGAUCCAGCCAUACCGCGUGGGUGAAGAAGGCCUUCGGGUUGUAAAGCCCUUUUGUUGGGAAAGAAAAGCAGCAGGUUAAUACCCGGCUGUUCUGACGGUACCCAAAGAAUAAGCACCGGCUAACUUCGUG
rnacentral:rRNA from 1 species